rnacentral:rRNA from 1 species
AUUGAACGCUGGCGGCAGGCCUAACACAUGCAAGUCGAGCGGUAACAGGGGAAGCUUGCUUCUCGCUGACGAGCGGCGGACGGGUGAGUAAUGUAUGGGGAUCUGCCCGAUAGAGGGGGAUAACCACUGGAAACGGUGGCUAAUACCGCAUAAUCUCUGAGGAGCAAAGCAGGGGAACUUCGGUCCUUGCGCUAUCGGAUGAACCCAUAUGGGAUUAG